rnacentral:rRNA from 1 species
UACAGAGGUGGCAAGCGUUGUUCGGAAUUACUGGGCGUAAAGGGCGAGUAGGUGGCCAUCUAAGUCAGACGUGAAAUCCCCCGGCUUAACCGGGGAACUGCGUCUGAUACUGGAUGGCUAGAGGUUGGGAGAGGGAUGCGGAAUUCCAGGUGUAGCGGUGAAAUGCGUAGAUAUCUGGAGGAACACCGGUGGCGAAGGCGGCAUCCUGGACCGGCAUUGACGCUGAGGCGCGAAAGCCAGGGGAGCAAACGGGG